rnacentral:rRNA from 1 species
UACAGAGGAUGCAAGCGUUAUCCGGAAUGAUUGGGCGUAAAGCGUCUGUAGGUGGCUUUUUAAGUCCGCCGUCAAAUCUCACAGCUUAACUGUGAAACUGCAUUGGAUACUAUCCGGCUAGAGGAAUGGAGGGGAGACUGGAAUACUUGGUGUAGCAGUGAAAUGCGUAGAUAUCAAGUGGAACACCAGUGGCGAAGGCGAGUCUCUGGACAUUUCCUGACGCUGAGGCACGAAAGCCAGGGGAGCAAACGGG